rnacentral:rRNA from 1 species
AGAGUUUGAUCCUGGCUCAGGAUGAACGCGGCGGCGUGCCUAACACAUGCAAGUCGAGCGAUUCUCUUCGGAGAAAGAGCGGCGGACGGGUGAGUAACGCGUGGGUAACCUGCCCUGUACACACGGAUAACAUACCGAAAGGUAUGCUAAUACGGGAUAAUGUACUUUUGUCGCAUGGCAAAAGUAUCAAAGCUCCGGCGGUACAGGAUGGACCCGCGUCUGAUUAGCUAGUUGGAGAGGUAAUGGCUCACCAAGGCGACGAUCAGUAGCCGACCUGAGAGGGUGAUCGGCCACAUUGGAACUGAGACACGGUCCAAACUCCUACGGGAGGCAGCAGUGGGGAAUAUUGCACAAUGGGCGAAAGCCUGAUGCAGCAACGCCGCGUGAGCGAUGAAGGCCUUCGGGUCGUAAAGCUCUGUCCUCAAGGAAGAUAAUGACGGUACUUGAGGAGGAAGCCCCGGCUAACUACGUGCCAGCAGCCGCGGUAAUACGUAGGGGGCUAGCGUUAUCCGGAAUUACUGGGUGUAAAGGGUGCGUAGGUGGUUUCUUAAGUCAGAGGUGAAAGGCUACGGCUCAACCGUAGUAAGCCUUUGAAACUGAGAAACUUGAGUGCAGGAGAGGAGAGUAGAAUUCCUAGUGUAGCGGUGAAAUGCGUAGAUAUUAGGAGGAAUACCAGUUGCGAAGGCGGCUCUCUGGACUGUAACUGACACUGAGGCACGAAAGCGUGGGGAGCAAACAGGAUUAGAUACCCUGGUAGUCCACGCCGUAAACGAUGAGUACUAGGUGUCGGGGGUUACCCCCCUCGGUGCCGCAGCUAACGCAUUAAGUACUCCGCCUGGGAAGUACGCUCGCAAGAGUGAAACUCAAAUGA